UCGGGAAUUUUGGGCAAUGGGCGAAAGCCUGACCCAGCAACGCCGCGUGAAGGAUGAAGUCUUUCGGGAUGUAAACUUCGUAAAAAUAGGAAGAAUAAAUGACGGUACUAUUUGUAAGGUCCGGCUAACUACGUGCCAGCAGCCGCGGUAAUACGUAGGGACCAAGCGUUGUUCGGAUUUACUGGGCGUAAAGGGCGCGUAGGCGGCAAUUCAAGUCAUCUGUGAAAUCUCCGGGCUUAACUCGGAACGGUCAGAUGAUACUGCUUUGCUAGAGUGCAGAAGGGGCAAUCGGAAUUCUUGGUGUAGCGGUGAAAUGCGUAGAUAUCAAGAGGAACACCUGAGGUGAAGACGGGUUGCUGGGCUGACACUGACGCUGAGGCGCGAAAGCCAGGGGAGCAAACGGGGAUUAGAUACCCCAGUAGUCCCUGAGCGGGCUGGCAAGGCGCAU
rnacentral:rRNA from 1 species